UUAAGCUAAGAAGAGCGUAGGGAGAAUGCCUUGGCAUUAGGAGCCGACGAAGGACGUGAUAAGCUGCGAUAAGCUGCGGGGAUCAGCAAGUAUGAAUUGAUCCGCAGAUUUCCGAAUGGAGCAAUCCGUAUGUGUAUGCACAUACAUCAUAUACUGAAUCAAAUAGGUAUAUGAGGGGAACCGCCUGAACUGAAACAUCUAAGUAGGGCGAGGAAGAGAAAUCAACCGAGAUUCUGUGAGUAGUGGCGAGCGAAAGCGGAAGAGGCUAAACCAUAGGUAGCAAUACUUAUGGGGUUUCGGACAGCAUUUAGUAUUGAUAAUUUCUAGUUGAAACGUGUGGGAAAACGUACCGAAGAGUGUGAGAGUCACGUAAGCGAAAGAGAAAGUCAGCGAGCUGUAUCCAAAGUACCGCGGGACACGUGAAACCCCGUGGGAAGAUGGGGGGACCAUCCUCCAAGCCUAAAUACUACCUAAUGACCGAUAGCGAAUAGUACUGUGAAGGAACGGUGAAAAGAACCCCGGGAGGGGAGUGAAAAAGAACCUGAAACCCUAUGCUUACAAGCACCGAGAGCACGUCAAAGUGUGAUCGGGUACCUUUUGUAGAAUGGUCCGGCGAGUUAUUGUAUGCGGCAAGGUUAAGUGCUUAAGGCACGGAGCCGAAGCGAGAGCAAGUCUGAAUAGGGCGAGUAAGUCGUAUGCAAUAGACCCGAAACCGAGUGAUCUAUCCAUGUCCAGGCUGAAGUGGAGGUAAAACUCCAUGGAGGGCCGAACACACGUCCGUUGAAAAGGCCGGUGAUGAGGUGUGGAUAGCGGAGAAAUUCCAAUCGAACUCGGAUAUAGCUGGUUCUCUCCGAAAUAGCUUUAGGGCUAGCCUCGUGAAAGAUUACUGGAGGUAAAGCACUGAAUGGGCUAGGGGUCGAAAGAUUACUGAACCCUAUCAAACUAAGAAUGCCAGAUAAUUGAUUCACGGGAGUCAGACAAUGUGAGAUAAGUCUCAUUGUCAAAAGGGAAACAGCCCAGACCCACAGCUAAGGUCCCUAAACAUUGUUAAGUGGAAAAGGAUGUGGGGUUGCAUAAACAACCAGGAUGUUGGCUUAGAAGCAGCCACUCAUUAAAAGAGUGCGUAAUAGCUCACUGGUCGAGUGACCCUGCGCCGAAAAUUCAACGGGGCUAAACAAUGUACCGAAGCUUGGGAUUCUAGAUUUAUCUAGAGUGGUAGGAGAGCGUCGAAUAAGGGGUGAAGUCAGAGCGGAAGCGCUGGUGGACUUUAUUCGAGUGAGAAUGCCGGAAUGAGUAGCGAGAAUUAUGUGAGAAUCAUAAUGGCCGAAAAUCUAAGGUUUCCUGAGGAAGGUUCGUCCGCUCAGGGUAAGCCGGGGGCUAAGGCGAGGCGGAGACGCGUAGCCGAUGCACAUACGGUUGAAAUUCCGUAGCCACCGAAAGAUUUAAGUACAGGGACGCUUUAGAAGUGAUGUAGCCGGGCGAUGGUUGACCCGGUCGUAAGGGAUCGAAAAUGAGUAGAGAAGUCAUCAUGGAAAGAGACAAGAAAAGCUGUAUGAAUAUCUUAGGUGCCCGUACCGCAAACCGACACAGGUAGAUAGGAAGAAGAUUCUAAGGCCAACGGGAGAAGGGUUGUUAAGGAACUCGGCAAGUUGACCCCGUAACUUAGGGAUAAGGGGUGCUCAAGUGAUUGAGCCGCAGAGAAUAGGCCCAGGCGACUGUUUAGCAAAAACACAGGUCUCUGCUAAAUCGAAAGAUGACGUAUAGGGGCUGACACCUGCCCGGUGCCGGAAGGUUAAGAGGAGAUGUGAGAGCAUUGAAUUGAAGCCCCGGUAAACGGCGGCCGUAACUAUAACGGUCCUAAGGUAGCGAAAUUCCUUGUCAGGUAAGUUCUGACCCGC
rnacentral:rRNA from 1 species